ACUCCUACGGGAGACAGCAGUGGGGAAUAUUGCACAAUGGGCGCAAGCCUGAUGCAGCCAUGCCGCGUGUAUGAAGAAGGCCUUCGGGUUGUAAAGUACUUUCAGCGGGGAGGAAGGCGAUAAGGUUAAUAACCUUGUCGAUUGACGUUACCCGCAGAAGAAGCACCGGCUAACUCCGUGCCAGCAGCCGCGGUAAUACGGAGGGUGCAAGCGUUAAUCGGAAUUACUGGGCGUAAAGCGCACGCAGGCGGUCUGUCAAGUCGGAUGUGAAAUCCCCGGGCUCAACCUGGGAACUGCAUUCGAAACUGGCAGGCUAGAGUCUUGUAGAGGGGGGUAGAAUUCCAGGUGUAGCGGUGAAAUGCGUAGAGAUCUGGAGGAAUACCGGUGGCGAAGGCGGCCCCCUGGACAAAGACUGACGCUCAGGUGCGAAAGCGUGGGGAGCAAACAGGAUUAGAUACCCGUGUAGUCCCAUG
rnacentral:rRNA from 1 species